GCAGAGUGCAUUUAUAAUGUUGAAGAGGAGAGUCACGAGGGAUUUCAGGCAAAGUCAUGCAUGGCUUGUGUUACUGUACCAGCAAUCUCACCUUAAAAGCUUCCAAAAAUACACAAAAAUCCCUAUUGGUAUUCAAUUCUACUUCCUUUAUCAUCAAGUUCAUUUAUGUUCUUUCUGAUGUAUUUUGGUCUGAGAGCUUGAAGCUGCCAGCAUGAUCUGUUUUAACGGGUUAAUCAGAAGGCGUUUGAGAGUAAAGAAACAUGUUAGGAAAUCUAGCUUCUUAGAUUUGGUUUCAUCAGGUCAUCUAGCAGCUUCAAUCGCUCACCAACAAUACAAUCCAAUGAAUUUGCAACUCGAUUAUAUCAGGUAAUUAAUCUUUUUCUUCAUUAAAUCUUCCAGAUUAUAAUCUCCCUUGAUGGUUAGCUUUUAGUGCAUUCUUUAAUUAUUGCAUAAAAUAUAUGUUGUUUCCUAUCUUUAUAAUGUUGAUAAAUCUCUUUAAGAUCCAAGUAUAAAACUUGGCAUUCGCGUGUAAGGUCUUGUUGUGUAAUUAGCUGCAUUAGGACCACAUUUAUCUAUUAAUGUCCACUUAAAAUCUAGGCCAGCAUUAUCUAAUUGAAUUAAAAUUUAUACUUUUCAACAAUCAAGAUAAUGACUCAAAACACAAUAGAUCCCUUUCCUUAUAUGCAAUAGGCCUAUACAUGCUUGCAUGCGCAUUGAUAAACUUUAUGCAUCUCCUUGCGCGCACCGUGGGCUGUUGUGUCUGUAUGACUCAUUUCUUUGUCUCCGGACUGCAUAUGAUCCAGGAGUCAGUACAAUAUUAAAACAAUCCCAAGACUCAAGAAAAGCAUACUUUUUUUUUUUUUGUUUUGCAAGAAGUAACUAGUUAGAAUCCUAGUGAUUCGUGUCCUUCCAAAAUCAAAUGAUUGUGAUUAUGAUCUACUUCCUUGAUCUCAAAAUUGCAUAUCCCGGGGGCGGGGGAGUGUUGAUUUGUUUGGACAUCCCAUAUAAUCUGUUAUGUUGACUAGUAAACAAACUUCUAUCGGAUUUUGUGUUUCAUUGUGGCUUUAGAUUGAAAUGAUGAUGAUGCAAUAAGUUUUGGUUAUCAUGAUAUUCUGUGAUUGUAGUUGUUUAUAGGCUGUGGAAGCAAAAGCAUUACUCUGGAGAUGUUAACUCUUCUUGUUUCUAUAGUUGUUGUAGUAGCUAUUGCAAAUGGAUGCAUUCAAUUUUUUGAUAGUAAUUUUGUGCCUGAUAAUUUGCAGCUUUUCUGUAAAUUUGGACAGGUGUCCAAAUGCUUUCACAUGAUGCCCUUUAGCCUUUACAGUAGUCUUACUGUCUCCUAGUGAUGUAACAUAAAAAAUGCAGAGCAAAAUAGCUUAUUUAUUUGGACCAGAAAGAAAAGAAAUUAAACCUCUUGUCUGUGUCUUUCAGUGGUUCCGAUGGAUGAGCAUAGAAAGUCUCUAUCAUUGAUUCAUCCUCUUUGUCUAUUUUUACGACAAGCAGUCACAUUCAUUUUUAAGAAGAGAUUUAUGGUACAAAUUCUGUACAAGUUAAAUUAUACAGAUGUAUUUCAUACUACAAUCAACUGUACUUUUCAAGUUUCUACUUUCCUUGUUCAACGGGAGAUGUUUGUUUGUUUCUCUACUUAAAUGAUACGAUCAUUGUGGAAAAGAAUCCAUAAAAACUCGGAGGUUAGGUGCCAAUGAUAAGCGAAGAGAGUGAAAAUAUAAUACAUGAAAGCUAUCUGCAUUUCAUUGAAUGUUUGCUGUUAGUUCACUGAAACACAUUAGACAAAGUUCGGGAUGAAGUACUGUGUGGCUGUAAUCCCAUACCCUAUUGUGCUCAGAGCUUGAAAUUCAAUUUCAAUUCAUUUAAUUUAGCCAAAAAGCAAAAAAGAAAAGAAAAUAAAUAGAGAGAUCUAAGUUCAAGUUAUUGAAGUUCCUGGAAUAUUAGCUACAUAUGGUUGUAGCUGUUUCAAUCUGAUUUAUGUAUGCUUGGAAAAUGCUUGAACUCCGAAUGGCGAGUAGUAAGAAUCUACAAGCUGCUCUGAUUAUAAUGAAAUAUCUGAUUAAGUUCCCUGUUGCAAGUCUUAACACCCGCAGCUUCUGAAUUUGAUUCAUUUCUACGAUUGAUUUAUCAAGUAUUAAAAUUGUAAUGGUACCGAUGAAUGACCUUUUUACUGAUGAUACAUGAAUGGUUCAUGAAUAUUGAAAAAAUUCACUGUUUUAUUCUCCCAUGUUAGCUAUGUCACUUCCCUUGUGUCCGCUAUCUAUGGCUGAAUAAAGAUUUCUGUUCUGAGAAAAACAAGAAGUGGUCCGACUGUCUCUUCUGUCGUAUUAUCAUCAAGGGGUCCUAAAUUUAAGAUAGAUAUAGCUGAAGGAGUGAGUUUUGGAGGCUUUAUAUUUCACUGACAAAUGCAUCAGCACAAAUUUGGUCUAUUUUGUAGAUCAUACUGAUCAUCGUUGGAUGUAAAUUGUGUGGUUGCCUUUCUUUUCCUUGUGAAGCCGUUUUCUUCUAAAAUUGUCAAGAUCAUUACUUAAGCUCUAAUUUACUAUUUCUACCGCAUUUCAAGUUCUUUUUCUUGAAAAUAAAGGGAGAACAGAUGCGUUCUCUCGUGCACUAGUUCAUUCUCCAUUUAGUUUUUUGUUCUCCACGAAUUUUGUAAUGGCAUCAGUAUAUUGCCUUGCCUCGCCUUGCAUCAUUCAUUUAGAUUCUAAAGUUAGAUAUUGAUGACACAAUAUGUCCCUGAGUUGAUUGUGUGAGUAAUUUUUCAGCUGAUGUAGCAUCUGCAUUCGUUUGAAGGGACUUCCAAAAGUGAAAGAAAGGCUUGUUAAAGCGCAGUUGACUUUAGUAGAUGACCUUUCUUUCCUCUACUCUUAUGCUUGUCAAAGUGCACCUAACCUUGAGUUCCUUCGUAAAUUAAAAAUAGAAAAAGACUUCACUAGACAUGGUACAUAGUUUCAAAAUGCAAAAACAUAAAGAUACUACUCAUUUUCACAGCUUAGAGCGAAAAUUAUUAGAUUGAACAGAUGAACCUAUUCAUCUUAGUCCUCCCUUUUUAUGCCUCAUUUAUCAUGAUUAACUAGAAGGCUCAUACUACCUUGUAGUUGAUAAUUCUCUAAGCUGAUGUGAGGAUCAAACUCCAAAAAAAAAAAA